rnacentral:rRNA from 1 species
AGCGAACGCUGGCGGCAGGCUUAACACAUGCAAGUCGAACGGAUCCUUCGGGAUUAGUGGCGGACGGGUGAGUAACACGUGGGAACGUGCCUUUUGGUUCGGAACAACACAGGGAAACUUGUGCUAAUACCGGAUGUGCCCUUCGGGGGAAGGAUUUAUCGCCAUUAGAGCGGCCCGCGUCUGAUUAGCUAGUUGGUGAGGUAAAGGCUCACCAAGGCUACGAUCAGUAGCUGGUCNGAGAGGAUGAUCAGCCACACUGGGACUGAGACACGGCCCAGACUCCUACGGGAGGCAGCAGUGGGGAAUCUUGCGCAAUGGGGAACCCUGACGCAGCCAUGCCGCGUGAAUGAUGAAGGUC